UGUCUGUUUCAGGGCGAGGUGUAAUUCCUCACUGGUAGUGAUGUGCGAAGGAGCAAUAAGUCUACGAGCCGAAAGGCCGAUCUGGUUAGAAUCCAGAACCAACGGUAUAGUCCGGAUGAAAGAAAUUAGCA
rnacentral:ncRNA from 2 species